rnacentral:rRNA from 1 species
AAACUGAAGAGUUUGAUCCUGGCUCAGAUUGAACGCUGGCGGCAUGCCUUACACAUGCAAGUCGAACGGCAGCGCGGGGCAACCUGGCGGCGAGUGGCGAACGGGUGAGUA